rnacentral:rRNA from 1 species
AGAGUUUGAUCCUGGCUCAGAUUGAACGCUGGCGGCAUGCCUUACACAUGCAAGUCGAACGGCAGCAUGAUCUAGCUUGCUAGAUUGAUGGCGAGUGGCGAACGGGUGAGUAAUACAUCGGAACGUGCCCUGUAGUGGGGGAUAACUAGUCGAAAGAUUAGCUAAUACCGCAUACGACCUGAGGGUGAAAGUGGGGGACCGCAAGGCCUCAUGCUAUAGGAGCGGCCGAUGUCUGAUUAGCUAGUUGGUGAGGUAAAGGCUCACCAAGGCGACGAUCAGUAGCUGGUCUGAGAGGACGAUCAGCCACACUGGGACUGAGACACGGCCCAGACUCCUACGGGAGGCAGCAGUGGGGAAUUUUGGACAAUGGGCGAAAGCCUGAUCCAGCAAUGCCGCGUGUGUGAAGAAGGCCUUCGGGUUGUAAAGCACUUUUGUCCGGAAAGAAAUGGCUCUGGUUAAUACCUGGGGUCGAUGACGGUACCGGAAGAAUAAGGACCGGCUAACUACGUGCCAGCAGCCGCGGUAAUACGUAGGGUCCAAGCGUUAAUCGGAAUUACUGGGCGUAAAGCGUGCGCAGGCGGUUGUGCAAGACCGAUGUGAAAUCCCCGAGCUUAACUUGGGAAUUGCAUUGGUGACUGCACGGCUAGAGUGUGUCAGAGGGGGGUAGAAUUCCACGUGUAGCAGUGAAAUGCGUAGAGAUGUGGAGGAAUACCGAUGGCGAAGGCAGCCCCCUGGGAUAACACUGACGCUCAUGCACGAAAGCGUGGGGAGCAAACAGGAUUAGAUACCC